UACGAAGGGGGCUAGCGUUGCUCGGAAUCACUGGGCGUAAAGCGCACGUAGGCGGAUUGCUAAGUCAGGGGUGAAAUCCUGGAGCUCAACUCCAGAACUGCCUUUGAUACUGGCGAUCUUGAGUCCGGGAGAGGUGAGUGGAACUGCGAGUGUAGAGGUGAAAUUCGUAGAUAUUCGCAAGAACACCAGUGGCGAAGGUGGCUCACUGGCCCGGUACUGACGCUGAGGUGCGAAAGCGUGGGGGAGCAAACAGG
rnacentral:rRNA from 1 species